rnacentral:rRNA from 1 species
GAUCCUGGCUCAGGACGAACGCUGGCGGCGUGCUUAACACAUGCAAGUCGAACGGAGCACCCUUGAAUGAGGUUUCGGCCAAAUGAAAGGAAUGCUUAGUGGCGGACUGGUGAGUAACGCGUGAGGAACCUGCCUUUCAGAGGGGGACAACAGCCGGAAACGGCUGCUAAUACCGCAUGACGCAUUCGGAUGGCAUCAUCUGAAUGCCAAAGAUUUAUCGCUG